rnacentral:rRNA from 1 species
UUCUUUAAGACAUUAAUUUAAAGUACAACCUGCUCAGUGACAAUUUCAACAGCCGCAGUAUUCCUGUGCUAAGGUAGCAUAAUAAUUAGCUUCAUAAUUGGAAGAUAGAAUGAAAGGUUAAACAAAAGGUAACUGUUUCAAUACAAAUAAUAAACCUUACAUAAAGGUAAAAAGGCCUUUAUAAUCACACAAGACAACAAGACCCUGACAAACUUAAAAUUUAAUUGGGGCAAUGAAAUAAAAACACUUUAUCAUUUUUCAAAACAAAACUCAUAUAAUGAAUCAAGUCUAGUUACUGCAGGGAUAACAGCGCAAUGUUUUUCAAAAGCUCUUAUAUAAAAAAACGAUUACGACCUCGAUGUUGAAUUAGUCUAGCUUAUCGGGGCAAAACCUGAAAAAGUUGGUCUGUUCGACCAUUAAAAGAUU